AACGUAGGAGACAAACGUUAUCCGGAGUUACUGGGCGUAAAGGGCGUGUAGGUGGUAUCGUAAGUCUGGCGUGAAAUUUCUCGGCUUAACCGAGGCAGGUCGUCGGAUACUGCGAGGCUAGAGGACGGUAGAGGCGUGUGGAAUUCCGGGUGUAGUGGUGGAAUGCGUAGAUAUCCGGAGGAACACCAGUGGCGAAAGCGGCUCUCUGGGGGCAACCUGACGCUGAGGCGCGAAAGCGUGGGGAGCGAACCGG
rnacentral:rRNA from 1 species